UACGUAGGGGGCGAGCGUUGUCCGGAUUUAUUGGGCGUAAAGAGCUCGUAGGCGGUUUGGUAAGUCGGGUGUGAAAUCUCCACGCUCAACGUGGAGGGGCCACUCGAUACUGCCAUGACUCGAGUCCGGUAGAGGAGUGUGGAAUUUCCGGUGUAGCGGUGAAAUGCGUAGAUAUCGGAAGGAACACCUGUGGCGAAAGCGGCUCACUGGACCAUAACUGACGCUGAGGCACGAAAGCUAGGGGAGCAAACAGG
rnacentral:rRNA from 1 species